rnacentral:lncRNA from 1 species
CAACAAAAGACGAAUGCAUUGCUAACUGGCUAAGCUCGCAACAUAAAGACCCAUUAAGGACUCCUCCACUAACAAUUAGAAGAGAAGUUAAAAAAAAGGAAGAUAAAACUCAUAACUUAAAAAAAAAAAUAACGGAGAUAAAACUAACAAAUCAACACAAACUCUGGUACUAAUAAAGUCCAAAAACACACAAAGAACUCUCACAAAGAGGAGAUCCAAAUGAAACUAGCCCAAGAUCCAAACUUUUUUAUAUCUCAAUUAUAAAGAAACAACCAGAACUCAAAAAACGCACUGGUAGACACAAGAAAUCACUCAAAUCAAACCCUAAAACACCGAAUCCCACCAACAAACAACAUAACUAACCCAAAAACACAUAUUUAAAAAGAAAAAAAAAUCAAAGAAAACUACCAGAAAUGAUCAAAAUAAGCUCAUUAUAAACAUUCCAACAUUCAACAAUCGAAAACGAAAUCUAAGAAGAAACAAGGAAUAUAAACAUUUAAUUCAAAUCAGAGGGAGAAAAGGGUUGGGGAACAAUAUACCCGAAUGCGUUCAAGUGAUCGAAAGAACAGCCGUGGAGGGAUCUAAAAUCCUCGAAGAGAGAAGAAAUCAGAAGAGAGUUCUACGAGAGCGGAGGAAUCCACGAGGAAUGGCCGAAUGAUAGAGAGCACUGGAACACUUAGGGAUCUUAGGGUUUGUGCGCCGCCCUCCCUCAGUGUCUCUCCGCUCUCCUCUCCUCUGGGGCUCCAGAUUCUUCGCCUCCCUAUUCCCAAAGGACCCUAACCCUAACUAAGGAGAAGUGGACUUCGCGCUGAUAUUGGGUCGAGGCGGGGAGUUGGGCCGAGGCAAAGAAAACGGGCUGAGGCGGGGAGUUGGCCCAGCUCUGGGCUUUAUGGAUUGUGGCCCUUAUCUUUCAGCCCAAUAGUUAAAUGAGUCAGACAUCUAAAAUCCAUAUCCGACCCAAUUAAUAAACAGGUUAAACGGGUCGACCUGUUUAUGACCCGAACCUGUUUAGGCCAAACCCAAACCUGUUUAUGGUGGGUCGAACACAGGUCGGGUUGGCGGGUUGGGUCAUAUUUUGCCACCCCUACUAGGGCCAGCCUUGGCCUUGGCCGGUCUAUGCCACACCUUAGCCGGCCUAGGCCACUCUAUUAGCCACCUUCCUUUAAGUGUUUGUCCCCCAUGAAGAGCCUAUAAAUAUGCAUUGAGAGAGCUUGGAAGAACAUCCUUUUGUCUUAGAGAGUUCACUUGUAUUUCGGCCUAACGGCUUGGGAAGGCUUUUGCCUUAGUGUAUUCGGUCUUAG